AAGCGUUAAAGCGUCUAUAAUGCAGUCGAGCGGACAGAUGGGAGCUUGCUCCCUGAUGUUAGCGGCGGACGGGUGAGUAACACGUGGGUAACCUGCCUGUAAGACUGGGAUAACUCCGGGAAACCGGGGCUAAUACCGGAUGCUUGUUUGAACCGCAUGGUUCAAACAUAAAAGGUGGCUUCGGCUACCACUUACAGAUGGACCCGCGGCGCAUUAGCUAGUUGGUGAGGUAAUGGCUCACCAAGGCAACGAUGCGUAGCCGACCUGAGAGGGUGAUCGGCCACACUGGGACUGAGACACGGCCCAGACUCCUACGGGAGGCAGCAGUAGGGAAUCUUCCGCAAUGGACGAAAGUCUGACGGAGCAACGCCGCGUGAGUGAUGAAGGUUUUCGGAUCGUAAAGCUCUGUUGUUAGGGAAGAACAAGUACCGUUCGAAUAGGGCGGUACCUUGACGGUACCUAACCAGAAAGCCACGGCUAACUACGUGCCAGCAGCCGCGGUAAUACGUAGGUGGCAAGCGUUGUCCGGAAUUAUUGGGCGUAAAGGGCUCGCAGGCGGUUUCUUAAGUCUGAUGUGAAAGCCCCCGGCUCAACCGGGGAGGGUCAUUGGAAACUGGGGAACUUGAGUGCAGAAGAGGAGAGUGGAAUUCCACGUGUAGCGGUGAAAUGCGUAGAGAUGUGGAGGAACACCAGUGGCGAAGGCGACUCUCUGGUCUGUAACUGACGCUGAGGAGCGAAAGCGUGGGGAGCGAACAGGAUUAGAUACCCUGGUAGUCCACGCCGUAAACGAUGAGUGCUAAGUGUUAGGGGGUUUCCGCCCCUUAGUGCUGCAGCUAACGCAUUAAGCACUCCGCCUGGGGAGUACGGUCGCAAGACUGAAACUCAAAGGAAUUGACGGGGGCCCGCACAAGCGGUGGAGCAUGUGGUUUAAUUCGAAGCAACGCGAAGAACCUUACCAGGUCUUGACAUCCUCUGACAAUCCUAGAGAUAGGACGUCCCCUUCGGGGGCAGAGUGACAGGUGGUGCAUGCUUGUCGUCAGCUCGUGUCGUGAGAUGUUUGGGUUAAGUCCCCGCAAACGAGCGCAACCCUUUGAUCUUAGUUGCCAGCAUUCAGCUGGGCACCUCUAAGUUGAACUGCCGGUGACGAUCUGUAAGAGCUGGGAAUGGACGGUCAAAUCAUCAUUGCCCCCACA
rnacentral:rRNA from 1 species